rnacentral:tRNA from 1 species
GGCUCCAUGGUCAAGAGGUCAAGACAUCGCCCUUUCACGGCGGUAACCCGGGUUCGAUUCCCGGUGGAGUCA